UUCCCGGGCCUUGUACACACCGCCCGUCACACCAUGAGAGCUGGUAACACCCGAAGUCCGUGAGGUAACCGUAAGGAGCCAGCGGCCGAAGGUGGGAUUAGUGAUUGGGGUGAAGUCGUAACAAGGUAGCCGUAGGAGAACCUGCGGCUGGAUCACCUCCUUUCUAAGGAGA
rnacentral:rRNA from 1 species